UCAAAGUCACACGUGCCUCCAAAUCCAUUCAAAGUUGCCCAAAAUCACGUCCUUAAUAUACGGUUAGGCCUGCGUUUAGGAUUUGAAAAAUCAAUCUGCUGCUGCGACAGAUGUAACUGAACAUGCUGAUGAAGGUGGAGUUGGAGUUAACAGGGCCCCGAUAAAUCCACUGGGAAAAGAACUGCACUGUAAAGCGUCCCAAAAUUUCAUGAUCACCUAGCUGGAGUCAACUUGCUGCCGUUGCAGAGAGGAGAGUUCCCAGUGGCAAGCUCAUAAAACAAGGACGACGUGUGCUUCAACGUGUACAGCUGCAACAUUAGCACCAACAUUGGUCAAAGUCUGUUGCAGGACAGUUGCGCUUCUCAUCGGUCUGCCAGCACACCUUACUUGCCACUAUGAGUGGAAACAUCCACGCGGAAUACACUGCAACAAGGAGAGCUG